AGGCUAGUUCCCAGCUUGGGGAAAAUCGUCUAGUAUAUUACAAAAGCUGUAGACUCUAUGUGGCCUACUCAGCCACCAACUCCACUCAACAUAUAUCUAUGAGACCUACGCACUAGCCAAGUGCGCCAUCAUCUUUUGCUUUCCUCCCUCAGCCAACCACCACCACUAUCUCCAAUCCUUUAACUUUACAGCCAACAACUCACUUAUUAAAGCACCACCAACUCUCCUCCACUUACUCUCAACUCCAGCAGAGAGCACAACAUUCUCUAUCAUUUUCCUGUCACCAAGAGGUCUCUCCAAAGAGCAGAGAAGCCCCCACUUCGUUCAGCCAAGUUCUCAAGGUAAACUUGCUUUAAUGCUCUAUUUUCUUUCAUUACCCACCUGCAAUAAAGAGCAACAACAUCAAUUUAUUUCAGUUCAGUUCCAACCCAUUUAAUACCUUAAGAAAUCGAAGAAGCAAGAGGGAGUAUUCAUUCACUGCUGUGCCAAACUUUAAGUUCAGCCCAAAUCAUUCCAGUUCGUUAAGCUCAACGACAAACAGCCAACCAACAUUCGUUCUCAAGGUCAAGCGCGAGAGUAAGAACUACACAAGGAGUUAGAGUACCUUAGCAAAACUUUGCUAUCAGGUUGAGCUGUGAUGGGCGAUGAAGUGUUGUUGCUGAGUGGAGUUUUUGUCGAACUUAAAGUAGGCUCAGAAAGGAUACAUGUCUUCAUACAUGUAUCUCAGUUAUGCAUUCCGCUGUAAACACUGAUUAUUUCAGUUACGCCUUCCGUUGCAAACUCUGAUAAUGUUUUAGCCAAGCCCCUAAUGAUGCCUUUUCCUUUUAAGGAAUAUAACGCGUAUACAAGUUCUUUGAGUAC